CUGGAAGUUUUUAAUGUCAUCUAACAGAAGAGAUUCCAUGGGUUUGAAUUUGCUCCUGCUCGUUCAUCCAAGGCUGAAAUCCUGGGUUUCUGAAAAGACGCAUAUUUUCUUCUGUUCGAUUAGUCUGGUGGUUUUCAUCUUCACCUUCCAAGAGGGGAUUUUUCAAUAUCCCAGAAAUAUUGUCUCACAAGAGGAAAAAGAAGAAAGAAAGAGUUGACCUGGUGAAGACAGAACCUUAUCCUUGCUCAAGCUGACCUUCAGGUAUUUCUUAGUGUGCUUAGAUUUUUG
rnacentral:lncRNA from 12 species